GUGUCAAUCUGUCUGCGGUUGGUUGCCUCCGUACCUUUUUAAAGUGUUUCCGUAAACAUGUGGCUGUUUACACUCAUAAUAUUAUUGAGAUGUUUACAAUAGUGUAAAAUAUAUUCAGUACUUUACUGAUUUGUGAAUUUUCAAAGUAGUUUAUAUAAAACAUUCAGUCACUUUAUGAAUAGAAUAACAAUCAAACAACAAUCAAACACGUUUGUGUUGUUUUACAGCAGAUUUCAAUGUGCAGAGAACUUGUUAUAUGUCUCCUGGUCAUCAUACUAAAUGUCAUAUACACACAAGGCCAGUAUAUUGUUGAAGUUCCAGGCGGACAAAAAUUUUUAUUACUACCAGAGAGCUCUGAUGACACUUUCGAUCCUACAGGGAUAAUAAUGCUUGUUACAGCGAUGGCAUUUCUAUCCGUAUUUAGAGGUAGUACGACGACAACGGUGGCGACUGCUGCCACGACAACAACCACGCAUUCUACUGUUCAUUCAACAACUACUACCAUGACUAGUACCAGUAUUACCGAAUCGCACUCUACAAAUGUGGUAACAACAUCACAAGCAGCAACAGCUGUGGUCCCUAUAGCUAAUUAGAAGCGCUGCUCGUUGGGACUUAUACAUGUAUUUGCUUAUAUCUUCUAUCAGCAGUAGUUAUUUCAAAAAUUCCAUUAU